rnacentral:piRNA from 1 species
UGCCACCGGACUGGAUGUGCUGAUACCAC